AAUCAAGAGUCAGAUGCUUAACUGACUGAGCCACCCAGGCACCCCAAGUAGAACAUACAACUCUUGAUCUCAGGGUCACAAAUUCAAGGCCCAUGUUGAGUGCAGAACUUUAUUUAGGGGAAAAAAUAUAGAGAGUUAUUCCCCUUUCCCAGUUGUUCCAAACCCUAACACCCUGUUGUCACAAGUCCUACUGUAAAGGUUAAAUUGUAGUGUAGGGCUAACCUGUAGCCUUGAGAAAUAACAGCUUUGUUUUGACACUGUAGGUUAAGAGAUAACAGGCCUGUCCUAUCAAUCAAGGGAACAAAAGUUCAAGGGAAAUCAACUGGAUUGGUGUUUGGAUUGGGGCAAGGGCAUGUUGAGAACUUUGAAAAAGUGGGCCAGAGGCAGGGUCAAGGAGGUCAACUGGUUGUGGCUUAACCACAGAAGGUCUGAACUGCUUCCACUCCCAUCUGGGAACUAUUUCUUUGUUCUGUUCCCAGGUGAUGAUAAGAUGAUGUGUUCGGCUAUAAAAACUCUGUACCCCGGCUGUUCAAGGCCGCACUCUGAUCAAGAGUGUCAGUCCCGAUGGGUCGGCCUUGCCUCUCAAUUGCAAUAAACUUUGUUGUGACUGUCACUGAUGCCCGUAGCAUUCUGUUUCAGGAGUCAUGUGGAUGCAACAAUACCAGAUGUAAAAUGAUUCACUGUUGUAGACCUAUGUUCAACCUUCUUCAGCAUUUCUGUAGACCUCAGCUACCAAUACUUGUUUGCUUUUAUUUAGAAUAAUCAGUAAUAUACCUGGACAGUGGUGCCUCAAGGGUUCACUGAGGCCCCUUAUUUUUCCCAAGUGGUCCAUCAAGAUUUAAGUCUCUUUCAGUUCCCUGGGAAAUCAACCCUUCUACAGUAUGUAGACUAUCUCCUGCAAUGCUCAGUUACCAAAGAAGCAUCUGUAUAAGAUUCCAUUUAUCUGCUGCAACAGUUAGCUGAGAAAGAACAGGAAGUCUGUACGGAGAAAUGACUUGAUUUACCUAGUCAUAAUGUAAGUGCUGUAGGAAUCCAAUUGUCUCCAAAGAUAAUUUUAAGCUUAUUCAAGCAUUCUCUAGGCCCAUGAUCGGCAGUAGCUUUCUGGAUUUCUACCCCUGGCUGGAUAUCAUAGACUCUGGGUUCCUGACUUUUCUCUAUCAACUUCUCCACUCUAUGACCUUCCUGAAAAUGCAGUGAGCAGGCCAUUAUAAGAUUUACAAAAGCACUAUAAGAACUCCUGCCCUAGGGCUAUCUAACUAUUCAAAGGCCUUCACCUUUUUUGUGCAGUAGAGAGAUAAUCAAGCCCUGUGAAUGCUCACACAAGAGCGUGCUGAUAAGAAUAGGCCUAUUGCCUAUUAUAUCAUACAACUUGAUUCACUUGCUCGUGCCCAUCCCAAUUGCCUUAAGGCCUUACUGAAGCUGCAAAGUUAGUAAACAUUUCCAUGGAUUUAGUCCUAGGAAAUGAUGUUUAUUUCACAAGCUCCACAUGCCGUCCUAAGUCUUCUUAAUUCUGAAUUGACUCAUCAUUUCUCUGCAUGCAGACCAACCUCCUAUGAGAUCCUUCUGCUCUCACUACUAACAUACAGAGUCCUCAGACCUUCUUCCUCUGAACCAUCUGAGCACCUUCAUUCAAAUGCCACCCAGUAUGGAUUAUUAAUAUAUUCUUAUUAUUGUAUAUAUAAUUUCUGGAUGGAUUGAAGCCUUCCCUUGCUGAAAGGAUGACACCCUCACACUCACAGUAGCAAAACAAACCGUUGGCAAAUGCAGUUCCUACCUGGAGUUUACCCUUCACACUAUCUAGUGACUGAGGCACCCACUUCACUUUGAAGAUCAGAUGAGCUGUAACUAAAGCUUUGCAAACUUCUUGGAACUGUCACUGCUGCUAUCACCCUCAGUCAUCAGGCAAAGUUGAAAGAACUAAUGGAAUCACCAAUCUCCAAAAUCUCCAAACUCACUGAAACUGCUGGACUCCCUCGGCCUGAGGUGUUGCCUUUGGCCUUGCUGACUUUUGCAGUACCCUCUUUGUGAGAUAGUCACCAGUAGACCAGUGUCUUUUGGUGUACAACCUUUUGUCGAUCCCUUGUUGUACUGUAAGUCUAGUGUUGUUAUGCCCAGAAUUCGUGAUCCCCAAAGACCACCAGGGAGCCCAGUCCGAUGCAAAAGCAAAGAGCCUUUAUUCGAGCUAGCUCGAGCUCAAUCCCCUACCUGCACCGACGCAGCGGUGAGAUGUUGGAGAGAGAGAGAGAGUUUUAAAAGCACAAAGGUUUUAUAGGGAUCUAGGGGCAGUUGGUGGGGUAAUGGUCGUGGCCUUAACCGAUUGGCUGAGGAAGGGUCCAAGUCCCAUUACGCAGGUUGCCAGGCGUGGUUUGAACGGGAAGUUUGAACGGGUGAGUGGGAAGUUACUCAAGGGGAGGAGGCAUGGUCUGAGGUUUAGAAUGGGAAUUUCUUUCUGCGGUUUUCUCGGGAAGGGGGCCAUGUCGGAGACAUAGUCACUCAAGAUGGAGGACACAGAACAAAACGGAGUCGGCCGGCCUAGGUCCGCUCUUUCAGUGUCUCAUGCUAAAACCUCUCAACAGCAGGUUCAGAAUCUCUUCCAUAUCCCCAAUUCAAAAUAUCCUCUUGUUCAUGAUUUGGUAUUUUGGAAAAGCCCCCAGAGGAACAUGGUCCCUGAGCCCUGUUGGAAGGGAACAUUACCAAGUGCUCCUGAUAACCAAUACUUCUGAAAAACUAGAAAGCACUGAACUUUGGGGCACACAUCUCCCAGCUGAAAAGGAUCCUCCUGACACUUGGUCCUCCUCUUGCACUGGUGACCUUAAAGCCAAGUUGCCCAGGAAGCUGAUGAUUUCAUGUGGUAGACAGUUUCCUUUCAAGACACCAGAGCAAGAAUUCAUACUUUCACUAGCCUCAAACGUGAAAGCCUUUCUUUUUCUCUUUCUCUCUUUCAUGUUGGCAUUGGCUUGGAAAGAUGGCAUCACCCACAUCUCCCAAGCCACUCUUAAAGGGGAUAACCUUUCAGACUGCUCUAUUUGUCAUCAAAACCCUCCCAUCUGUCCCUGAUGCUGGAGCCCCCCUGGUCCUCCCUGUGACCAAUUUUUCUUCCAUUCCCAGUGAAACCAUAAACUGCAACCGAAGCCACCUGCAGAGUCCAGAACAUUCAGCGCCUUUGCUUUAACCUUUCUUCUGCCAUAACUGUAUGGACUGAGACAGGCAGGGACACUUUGAAAACAUCAGUAUAGUACAUUUUUACAAUGACGUUCUUAUGAUUAUCUAAACCCAAACUGCUCCCGGCCUAGAACUGCACUUUUCUCCACAUGCACCCACUCUCCAAAGAGCUUAGAACUAUCUUUUAUUUUAGAACAAGAAAUUACCUUCCCAAGUGCAGUGAAAGCCUAACUGAUCCAUGGCUUAACUGGGCAAAUGAAAAGUCCUAGUGAAUAAAUUCAUUAAUAAUAAUACUUUGAUGGGAGCAGCGUGUGUCCCAGCAGCAUUUAUUUUUGUCUGUGGUGGUUUUGAGGAAAAGCAUAUUUCUUUGGCUUAUGAAUACCUAGAUGGCUGGCACUUAACCGGGCAGUGCCUUUGGGGUUAUCUAAUUGAACCCCUAAACUGCCAACUAUGAAACUGGAACACCUCACUGGUCAAUUUCCCUCAAUCUGUGUUGCUGAAACAAAUAGGAAUUGCCAGAAAGCAUUCACGAUUCAGAAUUUGCUUCUUUUGGUGGAUCUCUAGGAGCUAGAGUGCAGAUGAGGCUAUGAUCAUGAACCUCUACUUAACUCUUGAAGAUAUUCCAGAAUCUACUGCUAAAGCAGAACUGCCCAACAAAAAUCCCUAAACACUCUGGCCAGAGUUGUUCCCCAUACUAGAACAGCCCUUCAUUACCUUUUAGCUGUGCAGGGAGGUGCUUGUGCUGUAGCCAACACUACUGGUUGCACUUGGACGAAUGCUUCUAGGGAGGGGUGAGUCUCAGCUACAAUAAGAUCACUCACCCAGCCAAUUGGUUUAAGAAAGCGACUCCUUCAGUGAGGUCUUCCUCACUGGGUCAUUUAUUUGACCUUGAUUGGUUUGUGUCUUGAGCACCAUGACUCCAAAGUGCACUCCAGACACUGGGAGGUAUUCUACCUUUGGUAACCAUAGUAGUCCCCCUGAUGCACUCUGUUCACUCAAAGCUUUAAAGGCAUGCUUGCAUCCACUAACCACUAAGGAAAUCAUCUCCCUAAUAUUACAAAGUCACAGGCCACCAGGGUGACUCAGCCAACUAAGCCUCUGACUUCAGCUUGUGUUAUGAUCUCGCAGUUAGUGGGUUUGAGCCCCAUGUCGGGCUCUGUGCUGACAGCUCAUGAGAAACUUAAGCAAACUGAAACCUAACCAGCCUGUGCCGCUCCUGUACAACUGCUUGGCGCGCCGGGGAACUCCUGCCCAAUCAGUGCAUUGUCCGUACCCCCCCCCCCCAGCUUAAUGUCAACCAAUCAACUCCCCCGCUGACUGGAAAUCCCCCAAACUGUUUACCUCCGCCUAUAAAAAGCCUGCGCAAACUCCCCUCGGGACCUCGGAGCCUCACUGUUUGUGAAUGCGCGGAGGUCCAGGUUUGAACCUGAAAUAAAUGGCCCUUGCCGCUUGGCUUUGA